GGGAGGGCAAGGGCAUGGAUCCCGGGUUGGCUGCGGUAUUCCCGGCGCCGGGGGUGCUCCGGGAGCGCCGCGGGUGCCCCGGGAGCGCUGCGGGUGCCGGGUCCCCGCCGCCCGUCCCGGCGCUGCGCUGCCGUGAACUUGGCGAGCGCGGAGUUGGCGCCGUGGGUGUCUCCGGUUGGGAAAUCGAGGUUUGCGUGUGCUGAAUUGCGGAAAGUAAACGCGAAUCGGCUGGGGGGGGGUGUUAGAUCCCGGAGGAAAAGCCGGCAUUCUUACCAUAAGUUAUUUAUGUGGAUUUGCCAGAUAUUAAAUAUCUCUCCUUCGAUUAAUUGGAAAUCGAUGUGGUUAGGUGCGGUUAUCGGAAUAUACUUUGGCAUGAGUUUAAAAUAACAAAUAUGAAGUUAAAUAUCCUCUAUUUUUAUCUUACACGUUUCAUGGACAAAUAGCUCUGUUAUUUUGCAACGUAUCUUCUUUUUCAUGAAGUGUUUUACAAUUAACUGUAUUUAUUAUAUUUCUUCUGCAUAUUUAACAUCUUGCGACAACCGCAUCCACUUUUUUAAGUUCUGAGUUUCCUGGUGGUUUUCAUGGCAAAAGUUAUUUCUGAUGACGAUACGUUUUCAGACAGAGAAAUCUGUCAGAUUUUGCAACUUUUUUCUCUGUGGCAUUUUUCUCUGCAUAAGGCUGCAGUUAGGACUGGGUUCUGUGCUUUCUGUGCCAUCUAGUAGUUAGCUGGGAAUUUAAAUACACUGUGAGCAUCCCCAGCUGGAGAUGGUACUGGAAGCUGUAGUAUAUUUGUACGACCACUUCUGUGACGUGUGAAAAGUGGAGAUUUUGGAUAGAAAUAAUUAUGGCCAUUCAGAAAUCAGUGCUUGAAUGUUUCUUUCAAAUAAAAUUGCCACUGAACCUUUAAGGUGCCUAAUAUAGAUUUUGGGUUAAAAUCAAUGGUUGUGUCGGUGUAGUCAGUGAUAUUUGCAUCUGCACGUGUGAUUAACCCCUUGCUGUGCAUUGCAGAGGCAGAAGGAUGCUUGUGGGACCAGCUCUGUUGCUAGGCCUGAAAACUUGAUUUUUUUGUUGCUAGCCUGAAGCUGUGAGAAUCAAUACAGAUUUUUACAUGGAGUGAUGGAAGAAUUUCAGUCUGGCCCUACCAAGCAGGAGCAGCCCCUGCUCCUCUGGGGUGUGGGAAGUGUCCAGAGGAGCUGCACUGCCCCAGGCUCGUGUGUCCUCACCUCCUGCCUCAGCACCCAUGGGUGCACAAACAUCCUGAGUGCCCACAGGAACCGUGACAGAGGGGACCUUGUUGGCUAAAAUGAUGAUGGAUAGGAACAGUACCUGUUGCACCACCAGUGAUUUGUCAUCUCCCAGGGAAACCUGUGCACCUGUAGUUCUUUGGUAAUCUACUCAAAUCAUCUGAAAUGAGAAACACCCAGGGAGUUUAAGUUGACUUUAUCAGUGUGUUGUAAUGAGGUGAUUGUGAUUACUUGAGUAGGUUAGAAGUUCAGAGAGUUAUGUAUAAAUUAUUAUUAUUUAUUAUUAUUAUGCUAUUUAUACAAGCAAUCGGUACUUUUAAAAUGAAGCCAGCUACAGUUCAGCAAUGGCUGUUUGAAAGUAGAAAUACCCAUGUGUACAUUUUAUGGCACUUUGAUUUUGUUACAUAAUGGCAUGCAUAAUUUUCAUGCAUUAUAUAAAAUUUUCUCAGAAUAUCCCGAGAAAACAGACAAAAUAAGGUCUACGUCUGUUUGAUACCUAGUGAGACUUUCUUAGCCUAAGUAGCAAGUUAUGGUUUCUAAUAGUGUGUAAACAAUCUGCAGCCAGGCUGGCAGGCGUUGCCUGCUUGUGGCAGUAACAGAAAUAUGAAAGAUAAUGUGUGCACUGCAGAACUGAAUUACCUUCCACGCCUCCUGCUUUUUUUCUCACCCAGGCAGGUGAGGGGGAGCAGAUGAAGGCUUUCCUUUCCCUUUGGCACAGUACUGGAUUGCUUCUCUGGUACAAGGCAGAGAUCCUGUGACCCCAUGGAGCUGUGGAAAAUCUUUUUGGUUCUUAGUCUAAAUGUCGCUAAGUCUAGGCUUAAUAUCUAAAGAAGAUGUAUGUUACUAAAAAAUAUAUUUUCCAAGUAUGAAUAGAUAAUAAACUCUUAAUAAAUGUUUUUUCUGAAUAUUGAACAUAAAAAAAAAGGUUAGGUUAGAAAAAGUGAAACCCUCUUAGUUGUUUUUUGGGGUUACAUGUUAUCCUAAUUUUAUGAGUUGGAUAACAGAUUUCAGCGUGCACGAAAAGAUUUACAUAGAUAAAAUGAAUUUGUUAAACAUAGAUUACUAGAGGUUUGGCAUCAGCUAUAUGGAUAAAUCAUUCAUUCAUUGCAAAACAAUCUCAGAAUUUCUUAUUUUAUUUUAUUAUUUCUUAUUUUAACUACUUGUGGGUCUGAAACAAUUUAAGUUUUAGUAGGUGCUGUCUAGUUUUUUUGUUGCAAGUUUUUGUUUGCUUUUUUCCUUUUAACAUGACCUUGAUGGAUGGAGAGAGAACAUUUCCUUGGUGGGAUUACUGAGUCUUCAUGGUGGUAGUUUCUGUCUUACAGUGAUGUGACUUAUGGUAGCACUUUUCUCUGAUAGCACCAAUGUUUAUUUCAAAAGUAUAAUUUUCAUAUUUAAACACAUGCAGUGCUAGAUUGGAAAACUUUUUUAAUGACAAUUGCAUGGCAUGUUUGUUGGUAAAUGGUUAUGUUGAAUGACGGGAGAAAAAUUAAUUUGUAGUUUCUAAAGAUCUGUGAUUUUUAUAUCUGUUAUUUAACAGAGCUGUAAUGUUAUCACCGAGCGCUGCCAGUUGAGUGUGAAGUGCAGUGUGUAACAUUUCUUGGUAGUAGAGUUGCUCUGAGUGGAGAAAUAAUUUAAGCGGUACAAGGAUUUUUAUAGUCCUCUUGUCACAGUUAACCGUUUUGAUGAAAUACGAAUUUACACAACAUCUGCCUUUUGGGACCGGCGUUCCCAUCAGAGCCUGCUGGUUUCCCACAGCAGCAGCAUCCUGCCUGGAGCCUCGUGGCAGGGCAGGAUGGGCUGGAGCCUGCCUGGUGGAUGGGAAACCACAGCACUGGAGGGAUUCACUUGGUGUAUCUCCUUGGGGAACUUGAGCAGGAAGUGCUGCUGCUGGCUGUGAGGGUGAAACCUUUCAGUUUCACUUUAGCAGAAGGCAUUGCUCGGGCACAGAGAGGUCCCUGACCCGCAGCUCGCUUCUGAAGUCCCUGCUAAUCCCCCUGAUUCCUGUGCUUGUGUGUAGGCACAAAACAUGUUGUGCAUGGGCUGUUGGUGGGGUGUGGUUUGGGGUCUGGCACACAGCACUGCAGUUGAUUUUGGAGGGAGCAGCACUCUGUUUCUUCAAACUGCUGAUGAGGACUUGCAGUGGGAUGGGGGAAUCCAGCCGGACCUUGCAGUGUCAAAGCAAUGGGCUGUUUCCUCGAGACCCUUCUGCUCUAUAUCCCUGUGGUGGUCACUCUUCUACCAGAGGGGAAGAGCUGGAAUUUUAUAUGGUUGCACCUAUCAAACUUGUCUCUUCAGAGACCAUUGUGUCUUUCACUGUUUCAUUUUCCUGCCCCAUGGGGUGGAGGGUGCCUCUUGCCACUCCUGGCCUAGCUCAGAGAUGGUCAUUAAUGUCCGACUGCUAACAUCUUUGUGCGCAUCCCAGGAAAGGCAAGUUCACAGGAGGGUAAAGCAGCCUGAGAGACACUGAUGCUCCUCCUCGGUAAGGGCUGGCUUGGGAGAAGAGAUCAGAAGGAGCUUUUGGAAAGAUGCAGUUUCCCAUCAUGGGCCAACUUAGGGCACAAGUAGUCUUUCAUAUCAAUGAAAAACAGGCACAGUAAUGAGAAUCUGUAGAAAAAUGUUAAAAAUAAUUCUGUACCACUUCUCCCACUUUUCCUACAUGGCCUAUCUUGGCUAGUAAAUGUUCCAGACCACUGCUGUCCCUCAGGAAAGAAACUGUGCAAGUGUAAGGUCUCAGCCUGGGAUGAGCAAUAUUCAGUGCACGAAAGCGGUACUGAAACACUGACACUAAGUGCUGUUGGCACAACAUCCUGCAAAUUUUGAGGCACAAUUUUAAGAAACGAGUACUCAAAGUAGAGGUUGUACAACUUGGAAAGUCUGGCGUGUUCGUUCUCUUGGGCUGUGUAAGCGAUCUCAGUGCUCACUGCUAUUUUUGCUGUCAUUCAGGGCAAAAUAAUUGAGGUCGCUCAUCAAGCAAGCUGUGGUGUUGUGAAGACAGCAGCAGACUGUGCCGUGUGCUACCUUUACAUCCGCAUUUUAGGAGAUGAAGCAAAAAUAGUUCCGAGUGUCAUAUCUUGGUGAAACCAUCCAGCAAAACCUCCUGAUUCUUGUACAGAUAUUUAGUUCAGCCUUCUGCUGCUGCUACCUGAGUCUUUGCUUCUAAUUGAUCUCUUACUCAAUAAUUGCAAAUUAUUACAAUUGCUUGGUCAGAGUGAAAAAUUACAUGUAACAGGUUGCUGUUGUAGGGGAGAUCAAUCAUGUCACCUUAUAGUGGUGAGGGAAAGAGCCCAGACUAGUUAAUGGUCUCUUCUUUGGGUUAUCCUUCUGUAAAAUGGGGAUAAUCAUCAUUAUAAGAGGUGCUUUAGGACUCACUAAAUAUAUCUGAAGCACUUAGGAAUCAUAGUUAAAAAAAAUAAUUGCCUAGUAAAUUGUCUACUUAAUAAAAUGUAAAAAUAAAAGAUGUAGAAUAUAUUAGGCUUCAUAAUCAUUUAAAUAGAUGCAUGUAGUUUAUUUACCUUCUCAAUGAGAACUAACAACCAUUGAAAGCAAAUAGGUCUUUAGGAAAACUAUAUUGGCAAAAUGAGAUUAUUUAAAUUAAGGUUUCCAGUUCACUAGUUUAAAUUACUGUUACAUUUAUGAUUUAGGCUCUGAUUUAAAUCAUACUUUGUACUGUUAGCAUUCAAAAUUUAUCAUCAACAUUGAAGCUGUGAACACAAAAGACGUUCUUGGCAAGACUUGGGGAAUGCAAUGUCAGUAUAUUUCUCUGGAAUACUAAAAAUUUAGAAAACAAAACCUUUGCCUUGACACUUACGACUUUUGAUAUAUGGGGGGAAAAAACCCUUAAAAAGACAAGCUGCAAAUGGUUGUAUUUUAGUCAACAGACCAAGGGUGGGUGUUCCAAUGGCCUGGAAAGGGCCAAGGACUUAGUAGAGGUACUGUUGGCAUGUGGCUCUGUGGUCAUUGGUCUUUUUAGAAGGGAAGGAAUAUUUAUAAAGUCUUUAUUGAAUAAAUAACAUCAAUCUCUCCAUCAAAUAUAAAAGCACUGGUAAUGUUUGCUGUUGCUUUUGUUGAUUAAGAGAAGUACCAAGAAAAAUUGUUUUGCAUUUCCAGCAGAAAUACUGCCGAGUGGAAAGGACUUCCUAGAGCUUUUUAUUCAUUUAUUGUUCUGCUGAGCAAUUAGAGGAACAAAAUCUCUUUACAUCUUUUUUACACUUGACAGAUUGGCAUUUGUUUUUCUCUGUUUAAAAAACCCCAAACAACCAACAAGCUGAGAUUUUCUUCAGGAAGGAAGGAAGUUUAGACCAAAGUUUCCGGAAUUUUUGACUCUACUCUUGUGUUACCACAGAUGGGAAUACGAAGGGGAAGGUGGGCUUCAUGUGAAAGUUGCAGGUAGCCUUGUAAGCUGUGGAAGGCUGUAAAAACUCAGGACCACCUCUGCCUCCCAGCAGGAGCCAUCGGCAAUUCCAGGUGAGUGCACUGAGAACAUGGUGCACUUACCUCUCUUGCUUGAUCUCUUUUGGGUGGUCAAAGGGGAUGGACUGCUCACUCUUUUCGUGUAUGUUCAAGGUUUUGUCAAACUUAAAUGUCUGUGAAAUCAGGAGCAGAAGGAUGGCUUGGGCAUGGACUUACUAACCUUUCACUUGCCUUUAGGAAAUGUUGUAAACAGGGAUCUGAUUUGCAUUCGUUAAGAAAUGGUAAUUUCAGCUUUAAAUAAUGAUGCUUUAAAUUGUGAUCUGCUUUUGUGUCUUUAAGGAGUAAAUACCAGAUUGCAUACAUAGUUACAUACCUUCCUUUUUUCAUUCUUCCUCAGAAUAUGUUGGACUAGAAUAACCUCUGAGUUGUUACUGUGGCUUAUUAGCACCACGUUUUGAAACCCAAGUUCAACAGUCAUAUUUUCUAUCCUCUCCUAAAACAAAAUAAAAUCCAUUAUUUGCUGAAUUGUUCAAAAAUAUUGUUUGGCUUAUUUUUUGUGUACCCACUUCAGUGACCAGAAUGUCAAUGAAGGCUUUGUUUAAAUGUUUUUUUCUUUAUUUUUUUCCUUCCAAAUCCACCCACACAUACACCUGUUCAUCUAAGACUUUUGGGCCGGAUAUCAGUUCAUUUGGUUGGGCUUUAUGGCUUUUUUUUCCCUCCUGCUUCAUUCAGUUAACUGCUUGCUGUCAGUUCUGGCACAUCCCCUUGUUUUCUGUAAGUUGCCCAUGGAAAAAAGGCUUGUUUCCAAAGGCAAAGAGGUAAUCUGGCUGGGAGUUGGAUUAACUGUUGCAGUAGCUCAUGAUAAACAUCUGUUGCAAUACUCCCAGAUGAGAACAUUGCUUUCAAAACUAUUUACUUCACAUUUAGAACCGUUCACUUUACUUGUGGUUUUAUUUUUUCCCUCUCCAAUUACUAAGUUUUUUUCAAAAGGACAUAAAUCCAUAUAGUCCAUCUCAGAGACUGUGUUUAUUCUAUGAUACAGACAAGGAAAAGGGGUUGUUGAGUUACUGUUCAUGUGCUGGAGCCCCUGAAUAUUUCUGACUGGAGCGCAGAAGCAUGUGCAUUCCUUAAUAAAAUCCAACUGCAGAGCAGCCCCUGGGAGUGCUGCCGUGUGUGUGUGUCCGUGCUCUUCCUGUGCUGGAGUCCUCUGGAUGUUUUCCUCCUGUUCUGAAUUUGGCAAGAUAAGACUGGUGGGGAGUGGAGUUUAACUUGGAUCUGAAAUCCAAGGGUGGGUAUGUGUUUGGAAGGGUUUGGCUAAGUGGGCUUGGGACUUUGCCAUUGAGGAAACCUUCUGCUGUUUAUUUGGAAUAUUUUUUAAAUGUUGUUUGUUUGCUUGCUUUAUACAUUUUUUUAAAAAAAGCUUUUUAAUUCUAGGUUGAAUAGAUAAAAUAGCAGCUUGUUUUUGAAGUUAGGUCUGCUAGCAGCCACUUACUGCUGUAGCUGAGGAUCAGCAAACAAGCAAAGCAAGCUUUAGUAGGUUUUCCCAAAACAUCAACAAUCUUCUCCCCCACCCCACCCAAACCACAAAACCAAACCAUUCUUGGUGUCUCUGGGAAAAUAACAUUGGAAAACAGUAUGGAGUACCUCAAAUGGCGAGUGUUUCCAACAAAUCGCUUUUCUUUCUUAUGUUAAUAAGGAUGAUGCUCUUAACGUCAUCAUGUUCAAAGUAGUUUCACCCAUAUUUCUCAGAAGCUGAAAAGUAUUUUGUGCUGAAUUUUGUAUCUAAAGGUUUCCUAUCACAAUCGAAGAAAUCAUCUGGAUACUUUACAUAUGUGUUAAUCUUUACCAGAAUUAACUCUCUUUGCAUAGCAGUCUAACAGACAAAGAAAGGGAAUUUCCAAAUACCAGAGCUACUUGUAGCAAAAUAUAAGAGUCUGUAACUUUAUUUCUUGCUGGUUUUCUUAGGUCUGGCAGAACCCAUGUUGUUUUAGCAAUAAAUCUGUAAGAACAGCUGUUCUGACUCAGAGCAAGCACUUACAAUUCAAUAUCCUGUCUCUGAUGGUGAUCAGCAGGUAUCUAGGGAAGCAUACAAGAACAGUGAUAAAGUGAUGGAAUCUGAGGUGAGAUUUCUUAGUUUACCAGUUUUAUGGUGGCAUCAGGAUUUUCAGAAUCUGUCCUAAUCAUAAUACUGAAAUGACAGGUGUGAGACAUUUACCAGCCUCAGCUUUGUCUUAAAGACCUCCUAGUGCUAGGAUGAUAAAAAAAAGGAAAAAAACCUUGAAAAGUAAUGGAUAGUAUGUAAAAGAGAGAGAAGUAAUGGGAUAGGCUGGGAAAAGGGGAAAAAAGGGACUAUAAUUACUGCACAGUGUAAAGGAAUAGCAGAAGAAGAUUGGCUUGUUACCCAAAAGGUGAGACCCAUCUGCACUGGAGCUUACUGAGGCCUUGCCUGGCAGGCUCAGCCAUCACCUGCAUCGCAUCAUUUGGGCAUGGGGGAGACAAAGGCAAAACCAGGACAUGGAGAAAUAGUUGGCUCGAGCCUGGUUCAAGGCAAGAAAGAUGGUAGAGGGCAGACAAAUUAGGUGUGGGAGAAGAAACACAUGGGAAAGGGGAGUGUGAUGAUGGGAGUGUCCAAGAAACCUGUAGAAACUGAAUUAUUCUCUGUCUGUAAAUAUCUGUCCAUUCAAAUUGAUGAAUAAGAAAUGCUGUCUGUGUAGAAAAUUUGUUUUGCAGGUUUGUACUGACACCCUUGGAGCAUUGCUGUAUUUUUCCCAGGCUUCAAGACACCCAGGUUUUAUUUUUAGUGCUGCCCUGGGUUCUAUUUUGUGGCGAACCUGUUCCAGCUUGCUGCAGUCAUUACUACUAAGACCAUCUAAAUAGCAACUCAAAAAAGCUAUUAAAGCAAUGUAAAUAGUAAUAAAUUAUUUUGGUUUUGUGUGGAUUAAAAGGUACACUUAGGAUGGACUUGGUUUUGGGUCAGGUUUUUUAAUGCUCUAGAGCAAAAGCAUGACAAGCCUUACUUACAUCACGGGUGUGCAGAGGUGAUGGUGCUGUACUUUAAAUAAAAGACACGAGGGCGUUGUGACUGGGAUAUUGUCACUGGAGCAGUCACUUAAAAGCUUCCCUAAAAAUCUACUUUUACAAAGGUGUAUGGAAAACUGCUAUUGACUAUCUAAAGCAAAUUCAACAAUAAUAUCCAGGAGGUGUUGGAAUGGAUGAGGAGGUGUUGAAGCAAACUGCUCACCAAAGUAAGUCAUACUGCAAGCUAGGAUCAAACCUGACAAAUCCAGGGUUUAUUGUAUGCUGUAGGAUGAAGAAAAGAGGAUGGAUUUGAAUACAAAAGGGCAAAACCCAUCUUGAAUUUAAACACAGUUUAUGUAAUCCUGUGAGCAAGGAGGGUUGGUACAACCAGAACAAGUGACAGCUUCCGCUGUGGCUAGAGACCAGGCAAAGGGGAUUUAUCAGCUCAGACAAGGUGGGUACAAGAUUAAAAAAAACCCAUACUGGUCUUUAAUAAGUUGAUGUUUUCAUAUGUAUGUAUAUAAAUAAACAUAAAUUAAUAAUACUGGUAGUAUUAUGUGUAUAUGAUGUUAGAACAAUGUUUCCCAUAAUUAAAGGAAAACAGUGCAGAAGCAGCUUCACCAGUAUGGGAAUGGGAGGGACUAAGACACCGUGUUUCAGGAUCCAGCUUCAUGAACCUUUUUAACAGGAUUGCAGGAAAUGGAUCUUUCUCAGUUCCCAAGAAGGCUUUUCCCAGCCUGGCAUUCUCAAAUCCAAGGAGCCUGGAGUCUGGGGCUUUUUUUCUCCAAUAUGUGGUGUGGAAGAUGCUUUGAUUUGCAUGCUCUUACAGUGGCAGCUGUGGACGGGAGGACUACAGGAGUGAAUUGUGCUUUCUCUUUUUGCCAGAGAAUUUCACCUUUUCCACUGAUUAUCCAUGGUCCUGAAGAACCUGAGUAUUUGUUUUCUGUUAGCAAAUAAUUUUAUAUGCCACUUCCACAGUUACUACUCUCAGUAGGAAAAUAGCAGGUCUAACAAGGCAUAUAUAAAACAAAAUUUUACAAAAUCUAAUAAUCUGAGUUGUACUUGUUGCCCUUACUAUGCAGCUUUUUAUUAAAAGGUUUAUAAAGGUAACAUGUCAACACUGACUUUUCCCUCCCAUCGCAGAAAUGUUUCUUGUGUGGUUUAGAUGCUGUAUAACCACCUUAGAAUAAACAAAUAUUCUUGAGAAUCAGCCUGGAUGCAUUUUUACAGCACACUCAGGACUUUUUUAUAGAUGGUUUUGUAUUUUCUGUUACAUAUCUCCAUGUUUGCCUGCCAGAUCCUUUGUAAGCAUCCCAGUGAUUUCACUGGCAUGCACAAAUAGAUGUCUCUGUUAUAUAUUGAACGUAAAAGAGAAUUUACUCUUGAAUUUCAACCUUCACUUAAAAAUAUUUGCUUUUCCUAUAUCCUUACAGGAUUGACUUUCAAAAGGAGAUUCCUCAGAAUCAAGGAGGAAUCUGAUGGCACAUUUGCACAUCAGUUUUUAGUGCCUUUUUUACACUCAGAUUUUAUUUAACUUGUAUAAUUCUGUUGUGGUUUCUUUAGUAAACAGAAGUAGCCCUAGAAUUCUGUUUCACAAGUGCCUCAUUAUGCUGAGCUGCUAAUAGUUCUGUUAGUAUUGUUAAAGUAUUAACAGAAGAAUAAUAAUUGCUCUGCUGUAAUUGUAUUGAGGCUAAAAAAGCAUUCUCAUAGAAUAUUAAUGAGAUCCUUUUUCGAGGUAUGAAUUACUGUUCUUAGGACAGAAAAUAAUAAUAAAAAAAGAACCAUCCUGGAGAAACAUAAUAAUAAAAAUCAAUAAAUUAAUAAGGCUUUGAUUUAGUCUUGAACUCUCUUGCUCCUCCUCUCCUGACCCCAUUUGUGCUUCCUGUAGGUCCCAGGGAUCUGCUCUGCACCAUAUGUGCUCCUGUACCUCGGCACCACAGGGGGCUGGGAGACUUUUAACAAUGAAUUUUCUUUGGGUUUUUUUUUUUUUUUUAUGUUUAUCUCAGCCUUAAAUUACUUUAACCUUAUUUAGUCUUAAAAACUGUGACUGUGGAGCUAAUAUUUUAUGCAGCAUUGAGAGGAACUGGAAGUGCUUUUCAUUGCUAUGCAAAAUGCAGCUGGGGAAUGGUGCAGAAUUAACGACAGGGAGCUGUGCUCUUGAGAGUGUGAGCAGUAGUUUAUUUUCAUUUCUGUCAUUAAAUAUCUUAUUACCAACUAUUUGUUUUUUCUUUCCUCUCCCCUGCUGUGCAAAAAAAAAAAAAAAAAAAAAAAAGGAAAGGUGAUUACUAGAAGGUAAGAAUUGUAUAAAUGCUGGAAAGUACCUUGAAUCAGUGACCUUCGGUUGACCUCCUCCACUGCUGGUGUGAGCCCUGAAAUUUUUUUUUCAGAGCUAAGUUAACACCUCUGCCAUCCUUUCCUUUCAUCAAAUCUUACUCAAUUUCAUACCAAGUUGCUGAUUUGUAAGCAAAAUCCAAAUAUAGGAAUAAUGAAAAGAAUGAUCUCUUGUAAAUCUGAAGAGAGUGCAUCAGGAUACAAUAAAUCACAAGUGUUUCCUGGGACUUGCUUGACCAUUAAAAAUCUGCAGUUUAUGUUGCAUAAUACAAUUUUCUGACUGUUUUUUGAUAGCAGCUAUUUCUAAAUAGGCAAAUGAGAUGUCAUUGCAACACUUGGCUUUUUCCAGACCAGACCCAUUGGUCGGAAUGAAAAAGACAGUGCAAACUUGAGUUUGUUGGUUGUUUUCUGAGAUUUCAAAGGGACUUCAAUUCAUAUUCUAAAGCAUGUAAUUUCUUUUUUCAGUCUCAUCUACUAGCUCCUUGUCAUCCUUCAUUCUCCCUCGUCUGACAUCAGUUUCUCUCUUGUCCAUUUAAAACUGAAACUUGAAAAACUGCAGUUUUAUACUUUGUAUUAUUCUUCUACCCCGGAGCUGUUUUUAGUGUCUUUAUUGCAAGUAGACAGAUGGUGAUAUUUGGUUUCCUGUCAGUUUUAAUGAAUAUAGAUAGGAGUGAUAAGAACAUUUGCUUCGUUUAGCAAACUUCCUUUUCUGGCUUUUAAUUAAUGAAGUGCUCACUGGUGUGCCGCUGCUUUUGUAUGUGCUACAGUAAAAUCUCUUGUACGACUCAACUCGUAGUGUCGGAUAAUGAGAAAAGAGGAUGAAAAUAACUUUUUCUCUCCAGAUCCUUUAAAGUUUACUUACCCAGACUUGGAACACCGCAGACAUCAGCCAUGGAACUGCUCGUAUGAGCUGCUGUAGCAGCAUCCUUUGUAGCUGCGUAGUUUGGUAAUAUUUUGUUUUGAUACCAAGAACCCAAAGGAAGUGGUCUGUGUUUGGUGUCUGCUUAACCUUGGGUGAGGUUCAGCUCGGCUUGGGAGUGAUUUGCUUCUCAUGCAACUUCUCAAAUAGGAUAAGGUCCACAGUAGAAACUUGGUAAAAGGGAAAAAAAAAACCCUUGGCUUUUCAACCUUUUUUCCCUGCAGUUUCUCCUGCUUCAGAGAGAACCAAAACACUAAUCUUUAACACUGAUUAUUUUUUUUUUUCCAAAUAGUUUGAUUUCUGUGUUAGCUUAGCACAGACAUUAUUUGAGAUUAUUGUGAACUAUUUUAGAGUUCAUUAUUUUUAAGAUCUUUUUCCAGUGUUUAACACUAAGGGGUUUUCCUUUCUCUGUGUAUAUUGGGGUUUUAAUACCAAGGCAGAAUCAGUGCUUGUAGGGAAAGUUGUUUAAAUAAUUUCUGCUUUGCCAUAACAGUUUUGGGUUCUUUAAUGGUAAAAGUAAUCAUGUCUGUGUGUAUAAAACGUUGCUGUGGGUAAAGUCUGAAUCCUGGCUGUGGACUUAAAAUCUUCUUUAGCUUGGUAGCUCUAAUAGUUUAACAGUAUCACCACAUGGAGAGGAGUGGAGUGAAGGACCACAAGGUGAUCUUUGGGAACAUUAUUUUCUAAGUAUCUGACUAUUGCUAAUUCUGAAGAAAUGGAUUUUAAACCUGUUGUGUCUUAAUAUUCCUGUUUCUUGAGUUAAAAAAUGGACUAGAUUUUGUACUUUCUUCGGGACUUUUGUUUUGCUGUAGCCUUAUAAGGGUAGGAUUUGGUUCCCUGGUGGCAAAUCUGUUCGGGGAAAAAAAAAAAGUUGGUUUAUUUUAGCAAAGCUGUUUUAAAAUACUCCAACAAGCCUGGCAGGAGGCAGAAAUAGUUGUUAUUUUAUGUUAUUUCUUAGGUCUUUCUGAAAACGUCACAAAGUGCAAACCCUGUUCCUAUGGAAAACUCUUCUCCCUGUGAAAGAUUACCUCCAUUUUAAAUGAGUUAAAAAAAAACCAAAUUGUUUUUUCUGAUGCAUUUGGUGAAGGCAAAUAAUCAGGUACUUGUGCUGUGUUUAUUGCACGGAUGGUCUCACCUCUGCACACAGUGACUGAGGUUUUGAGUGUGUCCUUCCUUCCCAAAGGUCACAAGUAAGAAAACAAACCCAUGAAAAGGACGUCUCAAGAACAGCUUAUGUUUAAAUGAAUACUUUCUGUGCUUGUGUUCACUGUUGGGGGGUUUGCAGUUCUCGUGGCUGUGUUGGUUUGUGCAAGGGUGAUGAGGAGGGAACGUGUGAGCCAUUUCAGAAGGAACAUGGAUCUCUGUGGGCAGCUGCAGCAUGGUGCCUUCUGCUUCAGUACCUGGAGGCAGCUCGUGUUCUGUGGGACCAAACCCAGGCAUGCUCAUGUACUCUCUUGUUAUCAAGAAGGUCCUUUCUUCUGAACUAGAAAUUAACCUUGUUCCAGACAGCAGCACACAGUUCCAGGGUCCAUUUUAAUCUAUUUUCUGUGCAGAAAUCAGUGUAAACAAGAAAUUCAUGGUGGUGCCUCCUGGUGUGUAGGCAAGAACAUUUUAACAUUGUUAGUUGCAAUAUUAAGGUUGUGCUUUUCAUCUCAUUCUGGUUCUUUGUCAUCCUUCAGGAAACAGAACCACGUGUCUUCUCUCUUGUAAUAAAAGAAUGCUUUCUGAUGCCUCUCAGCUGGUGUUCCUCACUGUAUUUGACAUAGAGAGAAACAAAAGGAAGAUACAGAAGAGAAGUUGAAGAAGAAAGGAAAGACAGAGGAAAAAAUAGUGGAGAAAAUCAGAACUGAGUUGGCUUUUCUAAAAGGAGUUGUCCAGGAAGCAAAAUGAGCAGCUUCCCUCCUUUUUUGUCUUUCUGUUUUUAGCCCAUCCCAGCUACUGCAAUUCUGAGAUAAGUGGGUCAGGCAAAAGGGCAUAAUUAAUAGUGAUUUCACAGUUGCUGUGGGUACAGGAGAGCAUAGUGGGAAGAAUGGAUUCAAGGAAAUGUUGGCAGGCUCUCAGUGGAAAGCUCCCAGCUGAGCCCUGGGUUGCCAUGCCCAUCUUCUGCCAUGAGAUUUUGUGCCAGCCAGGUGGGAGCUGGAUCAGAUUGGGAAUAGAGCAGAUGGACGCUCUACUGGAUGCUCUGGUGGAUGAAGUGCAGCACAUCUUAAGUACGCUGAAUUUAGUAUGGGACAGGAUGCAUUUGUGUGAGCAGCUGGGGAAGGGAUGAAUCAACCCUUUGAAAAGCAUUGUGGGGAAACAAAGAGCUAAGUACCCUGACCAGGGGGCAUAAUGGCACAUAAUUUUUUCUGUCAGAUAUUCUGAGUUUAUUACUGAGGAGCAUUUCUUGUGUCCCACAUGCACCUCCAGUUUCUGUUACCUUGCAGUGCUUUGUUUCCUCUGGUUGGUGAUCACGUAGCAUCAGCGAGGCUUGCGUGGGAUGUGGUGCACAUGGUCCAAGGACAGCAAUCUGUGCAUUUCUGCUGAGAAAUUAACUUGAUUUUAACAUCUGGAGAUAAGGAGAGAGCACGUGCAGAAAGUUACAGUUUGAAGGAGCUGCUGCAGAGAAACUUCAAACAGAUAUAGUGGCAUUGCUUUCAUGGAAGAUGGAUGGGCUUUCUGCAAAGUUUAAUUGUAUUUUUUUUCCUGAUGGAGCCAAGUUGCUGUGUCGUGGUCAGGAGAUGGUGCCAUGUUUUUGGAUGCUCCUAAAGCCCUGAUGGAUCUUUCCGAAUUCUGGUGCCCCAUCUGCUCUUGAGCAGGUGGAGCCCCUUGGAUUAAUAUUCCCAACAGUCUCUGUGCUUAAAUUCCCAACAUCACCUGCCUGUGUUGUAACCAGAGCCUGCAAGAAAAGCUUUUUCUGUGUUGAGGAGGAAAUGCCUGAACAGGAGCUUUUUACAUCCCUAUGACACAUUCAACGCAGACACUCUGGAAAUGGAGUUGGUGGGAGCAGCGUGUACUUGUUGCUCAUAAGGAUUCACUUCACAUUAAAGAUCCAGCUGUGGCCUUUCAGAGCCAGCUGUUGGGAGAUGACUGAUGUGCAUCCCGUGCUGGAGAUGGGUUGGUUGUGAGGUUGGACACUUGUGCUUGCAGAAGAAAGGCAAUGUAUGGGAUGGGCGCUCCCUGAUGAAGAGGGGGAGUGCGACCCCCUUUCCCCAUCACCUUGGGAAGAUGAUCUUAUGUUUUUGCCUCCAGAAUAGUAAAUUCAUGUUUUUAAAUCUGUAAAGUGCUUGUGGGUACCAACAUAUUGCAGAAUAGUUGGUUAUGUACAUCUCGUGGUUUCAGCUCUUGAAUGCAGAGGAUGAAGCAGAAACAUCUUAGGGGUUGGGUUUUUAUUUUAGAUCAAGUCUAUGUCUCAGAUUUUAGGACAUAUUAGUAAACUUCAUUCUGCUAUUUCUCCAUGUGGGUUUGAAAUUUAUGGUAUUGAACCUUUGUCCUUUUCAUUAAAGUAAAAAAGACUGUUCUCUCUGUGA